UUUCGAUGUAAACAGCGAAGCAUGGAGUCCGGUAAAAGAAAACGCGGUCGUCCAAGCUUCUUGACGGAGUCAGCACGGAAGAAAAAGAGGAAAUAAUCUGAAAAACGACGCAGCCAACAAAGAAUUUCUAUAGGACACCAUCUAGAGGAAUGGAAUCGGCUUCGUGUUGCACUUGGCCUACAAUCAAACCCACAACUUGCAGGCGUUCUCCUCAGGCAACACAAGCACUAUGAAGGCCGUACUAGACCUAUGUCAACUCCUGCAAAACAGGGCUUACCAACAGGUCCAGAAUUUACAGUGUCUGAGAUUUCCUGUACAGACACAUGCAGUAAAGAGAGUGAAAGCACGGAAACAGCAGUGCCAGGAAUAAAAGAAAUGGAAAAAUCCUUUGGGGAUCAGCCAACAAGCAGCCAUGUUACAUUUCAGAAAAAAGCACUGUCAUCCUCCUUCAUAGACCCAUUCAGUUUAAGUAUUAGUGUUACCAAGGAUUAUGACGAGGAAGAAGAUAUGCAUGACGACGAUUAUGUACCAGAAUUUGAUGUGACCUUGGGUGAAGAGAAGACAGAUAUUGAAGAUGUAGCUGGCGGUGACAUGAUCCUUGAUAUAGAGAAUACAGAUAUGGAAGUUGAAUCAGGAGAAAAUUUCACCGGCCCAGGCAUCACCCAAAUAUCAUCAAUGACAGAAUCUGAAUCCGUUUUGAAAGCAGAUAAAGUGAUUGCAUAUGAAGAGCAGCUUCUGCAGUUAGCUUCCACAAAGAUUAAUGAUAAAUGCAUAGUGAAAGGAUGCUCGGAAACAUUGAAACUUUCUACAAGGUAUGUCGCAUUUGCCAUGUACAUUGUUUGGGUAUGUACUUGAUAUUUAUUCAAUUAUUGUUGGAAUAAUUUAUUUUACAAGUACAUGCAAUUUACAGAUUUCUGUCAAUCAAAGUUGAUUGAUUUCAUUGGAAUUUAUUAUCCUUUAUAUAAAAAACAAAAUAGGAGUGAAUGUGGUAUUGAGAAAAUCCUUGUUUUUACUUUUAAGUCCUGCUCAAAUGCACACAUUAGACAUAGAUAGUGUUCUCAACCAGUGCUCAACAAAGGACUUCACAGUGGAGAUUUGAUGAUAUCAGCUGCAAUUCUUUUCUCUGGGAACAAUUUCAGUAAGGUGGCACUUAUGGCAAAGUUCCUCGAUCUUCAUUUCC